UACGGAGGGGGCUAGCGUUGUUCGGAAUUACUGGGCGUAAAGCGCACGUAGGCGGCUUUGUAAGUUAGAGGUGAAAGCCCGGGGCUCAACUCCGGAAUUGCCUUUAAGACUGCAUCGCUCGAAUUGUGGAGAGGUAAGUGGAAUUCCGAGUGUAGAGGUGAAAUUCGUAGAUAUUCGGGAGAACACCAGUGGCGAAGGCGACUGACUGGACAAGUAUUGACGCUGAGGUACGAAAGCGUGGGGAGCAAACAGG
rnacentral:rRNA from 1 species